GUAACGUUAAAGCGGGUGAAAAGCCCGCUCGUCGUAAGCCCAAGGUUUCCUGCUCUACGUUCAUCGGAGCAGGGUGAGUCGGCCCCUAAGGUGAGGCUGAGAAGCGUAACUGAUGGGAACAAGGUUAAUAUUCCUUGACCACCGCUGAAUGCGAAGGGGGGACGGAGUAUUGAAGAUCAUCCGGGUGUUGGAUAUCCCGGUUUGCGAGCGUAGGAGGCUGACAGGCAAAUCCGUCAGCGAAUCUCCGAGGCGAAGCAUCGAGCUCUCUUUUGAGCGAAGUGAUUGGAUGUGCUUCCAGGAAAAGCCUCUAAGCUCCAGUUCAGCGGGACCGUACCGCAAACCGACACUGGUGGGCGAGCUGAAUAUGCUCAGGCGCUUGAGAGAACUCAGGAGAAGGAACUCGGCAAAUUGACACCGUAACUUCGGGAUAAGGUGUGCCUUUGUAGCGUGGAGGGAGAAACACCCCGAGCGCGAAGAGGUCUCAGAUAAUCGGUGGCUGCGACUGUUUAUUAAAAACACAGCACUCUGCAAAGACGAAAGUCGACGUAUAGGGUGUGAUGCCUGCCCGGUGCUGGAAGAUUAAUUGAUGGGGUGCAAGCUCCUGAUCGAAGUCCCAGUAAACGGCGGCCGUAACGAUAACGGUCCUAAGAUAGCGAAAUUCCUUGUCGGGCAAGUUCCGACCUGCACGAAUGGCAUAACGAUGGCCACACUGUCUCCUCCUGAGACUCAGUGAAGUUGAAGUGUUUGUGAUGAUGCAAUCUCCCCGCGGCUAGACGGAAAGACCCCAUGAACCUUUACUGUAGCUUUGCAUUGGACUUUGAACCGAUCUGUGUAGGAUAGGCGGGAGCCUGUGAAACCACAACGCCAGUUGUGGCGGAGGCGUCCUUGAAAUACCGCCCUGAUUUGUUUGAGGUUCUAACCUGGGACAGUUAUCCUGUCCGGGGACCGUGCAUGGUAGGCAGUUUGACUGGGGCGGUCUCCUCCUAAAGGGUAACGGAGGAGUGCGAAGGUACGCUAGGUACGGUCGGAAAUCGUGCUGAUAGUGCAAUGGCAAAAGCGUGCUUGACUGCGAGACCCACAAGUCGAGCAGAUACGAAAGUAGGUCAUAGUGAUCCGGUGGCUCUGUAUGGAAGGGCCAUCGCUCAACGGAUAAAAGGUACUCUGGGGAUAACAGGCUGAUACCGCCCAAGAGUUCAUAUCGACGGCGGUGUUUGGCACCUCGAUGUCGGCUCAUCUCAUCCUGGGGCUGUAGCCGGUCCCAAGGGUAUGGCUGUUCGCCAUUUAAAGAGGUACGUGAGCUGGGUUUAAAACGUCGUGAGACAGUUUUGUCCCUAUCUGCCGUGGGCGCUGGAAGAUUGACGGGGGCUGCUCCUAGUACGAGAGGACCGGAGUGGACUCACCUCUGGUGUACCGGUUGUCACGCCAGUGGCAUCGCCGGGUAGCUAUGUGGGGAAGAGAUAACCGCUGAAAGCAUCUAAGCGGGAAACUUGCCUGAAGAUAAGUCUUCCUGGAGGCUAGACCUCCCUAAAGAGUCGUUCGAGACCAGGACGUUGAUAGGAUGGGUGUGUAAGUGCUUUGAGGCACUCAGCUAACCAUUACUAAUUGCUCGUGAAGCUUGAUCCU
rnacentral:rRNA from 1 species